rnacentral:misc_RNA from 1 species
ACACCAACAACAAAUACAAAUAACUUGCUCUUGGCAAAAAUUUGAGUGUAAAAGUGUUGAUUUGCUCUAGUUCAGUUCAAAACGACAUUGUCUAUUUAAUAAUUUAUACUAUUAAACUCAGAAAUUUUUAAAGAAAUGAAAGAUUUUACUUUGAUUGUGGAGAAGAUUGAGAAAAAAUGGAAGCCAAACAUAUCCUUCUACCCAAAAAAAAAAAUUUCCUUCUACUGCCCCUUCACGUGAUUGCAGUCCAAAAGCCCAAGAUUCUCUGCUAAAAAUAAUAAAGGCCAUCACAGCCAUUUAAGUAUCGGCCAGUAACAGCCUUUACCUAACAGCAGUAAGUCUUUACACAAUCAAUUUUAAAAAUCCGUUGGCUAUAACGGUAACAGUGGUAAACUUAUUUUCCUUUAAAUAUCGUUGAUACGCCUUUAUUUAAAACCAUGAUUGCACUUCAUUCUACAGACACAGCAUUUUUUUUUUU